rnacentral:lncRNA from 1 species
UCUCGCAACCAAAUCUUGGGUUCGGGAGCCGAUUAUGCGAAGGAAAGGUAUUAGCACCCCUACGCAUCUGUAGUACUCUACGGGAUCCACUUUUGUUAUUCUUGUCUAAAGGGUGUAGGUUUAUCUAAUGCACUAUUUACUAAAAGAGGGGUCAAAAGAAAAUGACUCGCACGGAUGUCGCAUCCACUGCAUACGUAUCUCAU